CUACGGGGUGCAGCAGUGGGGAAUAUUGGACAAUGGGGGAAACCCUGAUCCAGCAAUGCCGCGUGUGUGAAGAAGGCCUGCGGGUUGUAAAGCACUUUCGGUCGGGAGGACUGCUUCUAGCACUAAUAUUGUUGGAAGUUGACGUUACCUUCAGAAGAAGCACCGGCUAACUCCGUGCCAGCAGCCGCGGUGAAUACGGAGGGUGCAAGCGUUAAUCGGAAUUACUGGGCGUAAAGCGCGCGUAGGCGGCUAGAUCAGUCGGGUGUGAAAGCCCCGGGCUUAACCUGGGAACUGCAUCCGAUACUAUCUAGCUUGAGGACAGGAGAGGAGAGUGGAAUUCCACAUGUAGCGGUGAAAUGCGUAGAUAUGUGGAGGAACACCAAUGGCGAAGGCAGCUCUCUGGCCUGAUACUGACGCUGAGGUGCGAAAGCGUGGGGAGCAAACAGGAUUAGAUACCCCCGUAGUC
rnacentral:rRNA from 1 species